AUCGAACGGUGGCGGCAGGCCUAACGCAUGCAAGUCACAUCGCUCCAGCAAUGGAGAGUGGCAGACGGGUAAGUAACACGUGGGAACAUUCCGCAUGGUUCGGAAUAUGAAAGGGAGGGGCUGGGGUAGAUACUCGGAUAAGCCCUAUGGGCGGAAGAUUUAUCGCCAUUUGAUGGGCGUAACGUCGGAUUAGCUAGUUGGAGGGGUAGCGGCUUACCAAGGAGGAUAUCCGUAGCUGGUCUGAGAGGAUGAUCAGCCACACUGGGGGAGAGACCCGUCCCAGAUUCCUACGGGAGGCAGCAAGUGGGGAAUAUUGCACAAUGGGCGCAAGCCUGAUCCAGCCAUGUUGCGUGAGUGACGAAGGUCUUCGGAUUGUAAAACUCUUUUGGCGGGGACGAUAAUGACGGUCCCCGCAGAAUAACCCCCGGCUAAUUUCGUGCCAGCAGCCGCGGUAAUACGAAGGGGGCUAGCGUUGUUGGGAAUCAUGGGGCGUAAAGCGCACGUAGGCGGAUGUGUCAGUCAGGGGUGAAAUCCCGGAGCUCAACUCCGGAACCACCUGAGAUACAGCAGGUGGAGAGUUCGAGAGAAGGGGGGGGUAUUCGUAGUGUAGAGGUGAAAUUUGUAGAUAUUGGGAAGCACCCCGGGGGAGAAGGGCCCUCAGGGCCUGCAUAGUGGCGGUGGCGUGAGAAAGCGUGGGGCGCACACAGGAUUAGACCCCCUGGUUGUCCACCCCUUAAACGAUGGAUGCUAGCCGUCAGCAAACAUGCCUGUCAGUGUCGCAGCUAACGCAUUAAGCUUCCCGCCUGGGGAGUACAGCCGCAAGGUUAAAACUCAAAUGAAUUGACGGGG
rnacentral:rRNA from 1 species